CGCUGGCGGCACGCCUAACACAUGCAAGUCGAACGAAGUAGCAAUACUUAGUGGCAGACGGGUGAGUAACAUGUAGGUAUCUGCCCUUUGGCCUGGAAUAACACGAGGAAACUUGUGCUAAUACUGGAUAAGUCUUUACGGAGAAAGCUUUAUGCACCAUUGGAUGAGCCUGCACUUGAUUAGUUUGUUGGUGGGGUAAUGGCCUACCAAGACUGUGAUCAAUAGCUGAUUUGAGAGGAUGAUCAGCCACAUUGGGACUGAGACACGGCCCAAACUCCUACGGGAGGCAGCAGUGGGGAAUCUUGCACAAUGGAGGAAACUCUGAUGCAGCGAUGCCGCGUGAGUGAAGAAGGCCUUUGGGUUGUAAAGCUCUUUCGUCGGGGAAGAAAAUGACUGUACCCGAAUAAGAAGGUCCGGCUAACUUCGUGCCAGCAGCCGCGGUAAUACGAAGGGACCUAGCGUAGUUCGGAAUUACUGGGCUUAAAGAGUUCGUAGGUGGUUGAAAAAGUUGGUGGUGAAAUCCCAGAGCUUAACUCUGGAACUGCCAUCAAAACUUUUCAGCUAGAGUAUGAUAGAGGAAAGCAGAAUUUCUAGUGUAGAGGUGAAAUUCGUAGAUAUUAGAAAGAAUACCAAUUGCGAAGGCAGCUUUCUGGAUCAUUACUGACACUGAGGAACGAAAGCAUGGGUAGCGAAGAGGAUUAGAUACCCUCGUAGUCCAUGCCGUAAACGAUGUGUGUUAGACGUUGGAAAUUUAUUUUCAGUGUCGCAGCGAAAGCGAUAAACACACCGCCUGGGGAGUACGACCGC
rnacentral:rRNA from 1 species